rnacentral:rRNA from 1 species
AGCGAACGCUGGCGGCAGGCUUAACACAUGCAAGUCGAGCGGGCAUCUUCGGAUGUCAGCGGCAGACGGGUGAGUAACACGUGGGAACGUACCCUUCGGUUCGGAACAACUCUGGGAAACUGGAGCUAAUACCGGAUACGCCCCUAUGGGGAAAGGUUUACUGCCGAAGGAUCGGCCCGCGUCUGAUUAGCUAGUUGGUGGGGUAACGGCCUACCAAGGCGACGAUCAGUAGCUGGUCUGAGAGGAUGAUCAGCCACACUGGGACUGAGACACGGCCCAGACUCCUACGGGAGGCAGCAGUGGGGAAUAUUGGACAAUGGGCGCAAGCCUGAUCCAGCCAUGCCGCGUGAGUGAUGAAGGCCUUAGGGUUGUAAAGCUCUUUUGUCCGGGACGAUAAUGACGGUACCGGAAGAAUAAGCCCCGGCUAACUUCGUG